rnacentral:lncRNA from 1 species
UCAGGAGCCAACUGAAUAGCAGACAUAUAUUCUUAGGGUUUACUAAUAGCUAAGAGAAGAAAAAUGACGUCAAAAAGGUAAGGGAGGGCUAGGGACAUGGUAGAGGGUUACCUCUGAGGGCAGACCCAAGGACAGCAUAGAAAGGGGAGUCUGUAGCCAGGCAGUGGUGGCGCACACCAUUAAUCCCCCCCCCACUUGAGAGGCAGAGGGAGGGGGAUUUCUGAGUUCGAGGCCAGCCUGGUCUACAGAGUGGUUUCCAGGGCAGCCAGGGCUACACAGAGAAAGCCUGUCUCAAAAAACCAAAAUAAAUCAAUAAAUCAAUGAAAGAAAGAAAGAAAGAAAGAAAGAAAGAAAGAAAGAAAGAAAGAAAGGAAGGAAGAAAGAAAGGAAGAAAGGAAGGAAGAAAGAAAGGGGAGUCUGUGAGGAACAAGGCAGGAAGAAGGGAGAGCCAUGGUGAAAGGGACUGGGCUAGUGUGACAGCUGUUCUCUGCAGGCUUUCCUCUUGGGGGAGGUGGGACAUGGGAAGUUGACUGCACUUAUCCCACACCAUCGCUGUAGGUGUUGGGCCA